GCUUCGCUAUCUUAUUCAAAAUAGAAAUUCUUGAAAACACACACACAUACUGACACUCCGUCUGUUACGAUGACGACGGUCCCACUUGAUCCGAUCAACGGAACAGCCUGCUCAUAAAAAUCAACGCGCAAGUGGCUGAGUACUCCAUAGAUAUGUGUACCCUUAACGUAGUCCUCGGGGAGAUUCAGCGUGACACAGAAUGUGACAAAGCUGACCCUUUGAAUUACAGGUAUAACUCAUUUUUUGCCAAAGGUUUGCUAGUCCACACCCAUCAGAAACGGAUUAUAGUUUUAGGAUACAGAAAAAGAAAGAAGAAAAAAAACGAGACAAAUGAAAAAAGCGCCCACCCUCAUACUGUAAAAUAUCAGCAGUGAUAAAGGGAGAGAGACAUGAUGGAUAAAAAGUUAUAAAAAUAAUUUAUCAAACAAACCUAACCCAGUUAUCGAUCGGGGAUUGAAAUGACUCGAUCUAACAUUCCCUCCUUUUUUACCUCUCAUCGCGAAGAAAAGAAGUUCAAGUGGAAUAUCUUUGUGUUCUAAGACACAGUAAUCCCUAAAGAUCCCUUCAGAUUUUCGCAACGUUAACAUUCACUACUCAGGUGUGUAGACAUGUUUAAACAUAUACACCAAAUAUAUACAAUAGCCAACACGGAUGUAAUCAGCCCACACACACAUACACACACACAUUCAGAAGGAGAGAGAGAGAGGGGAAUAAAUAUUAGUUUUUGAAGUUGAAUAACUUUGAUUUGGGAUGGAGAGAACAAAUAUUACAUAUCGAUGGCUAAAAUAGAUAUUUCAAUAAGAUUAAAAAAAAAAAACGGGACCUAAUGAGGGAAGGAGAAAACAUGAUUUUUUUUUAAAGUUGAAAAUAAAAAUAAAAAAAACUAUGGAUGUUGUUGAAAAA